rnacentral:rRNA from 1 species
GUAGGGGGCAAGCGUUAUCCGGAUUUACUGGGUGUAAAGGGAGCGUAGACGGCAUUGCAAGUCUGAUGUGAAAGAUUGGGGCCCAACCCCCGGACUGCUUUGGAAACUGUAUAACUGGAGUGCAGGAGAGGUAAGUGGAAUUCCUAGUGUAGCGGUGAAAUGCGUAGAUAUUAGGAGGAACACCAGUGGCGAAGGCGGCUUACUGGACUGUAACUGACGUUGAGGCUCGAAAGCGUGGGGAGCAA